CCUGAGUACGACGGAGCACGUGAAAUUCCGUCGGAAUCUGGGAGGACCAUCUCCUAAGGCUAAAUACUCUCUAGUGACCGAUAGUGAACCAGUACCGUGAGGGAAAGGUGAAAAGUACCCCGGAAGGGGAGUGAAAGAGAACUUGAAACCGUGUGCUUACAAGUAGUCAGAGCCCGUUAAUGGGUGAUGGCGUGCCUUUUGUAGAAUGAACCGGCGAGUUACGAUCUGAUGCAAGGUUAAGCAGAAAAUGUGGAGCCGUAGCGAAAGCGAGUCUGAAUAGGGCGAAUGAGUAUUUGGUCGUAGACCCGAAACCAGGUGAUCUACCCUUGGUCAGGUUGAAGUUCAGGUAACACUGAAUGGAGGACCGAACCGACUUACGUUGAAAAGUGAGCGGAUGAACUGAGGGUAGCGGAG
rnacentral:rRNA from 1 species